UAUUAGUGGUGAUAUAGUGUAUGUCUGGACACAACUGGCAACUGCUACAGUCGGAACAUCUGGGGGCCUCAUUAGGUAACAAAAAAAACAGCCUGGACCUUGAGUGUCUAUUAUAGUUUAGAGAAAUACAAGCACUCCCCUGAAGUGUGGCGAUAAGAAGACAAUCCUGCAAACAGGGGACUCUGAGAUAAGCAAAUGACUAUAUACUCUAGUACAUAGUAAUAUUACUGCACAGUUUAUUUGUAUUUAUUUUAUCAGCUGCGAGGCUGGGCAAAAGGUUGUUUAUGGCAUUUUAAUGAUCUUUCUAUGUCACAGUUAUUGACUGAUGGUGUAGUGUUUCACUCAUCUGUCUUCAGUUCUGGCAGCGUGGAUUCAGCUCCCACACAAUGAUUAAAUAUUAUUAUUUUGAGACUCCCGUACUCCUGCCUUACCUCCCUGCUUCCCUGGAAUUGGGUCCACCAUGUUCUUCUUGCCUUGCGUUCCUCGCCUUCGCCCUAACCACGUACGUGACAGCAUCACUGCUCAGACUAAAGGUUUCGCGAAUGGUAUGAUCAUCGUCUUCGUCGUCUGUUCUCACCGCAGAAGUUGCAGACUGGGGACCAAUGACAGAACACGCUGCUCGAUUUGACCAUUGAACAGAUGCCACUCACAGACAUUUGAUGUUUCUGAAUGUUGCAAAGUAAAAA